CUCGCUCUUCGCCUGACACCCCAGGAGUCUAAGUAACCGCCGGACACGGGGCACCUAUUACACCACUCAUCUUUCAUCGUACAAGUUUCAGGAACGAUAAACUUCACCUGAGCACCACAGGAUACACCUGAUGUGCGAGAAUUGGCCGGUUGCCGGUCGAUGACGUCACGCGAGUCGGGAGCACGUGACUCUGCUUGCGCAGAUACUGCCUGGCCUGCUGAGUUUAUCCAGCAUUUUGUGUAUGUUGCUUGGAUUUCCAGCAUCUGCAUUUUUUCUCUUGUUUGGAACCGAGUAUGGAAGCAAAGGUCAGAUCUACAACCACUGGACAUAUACUGAAUACUGUUCUCACCCCAGCAAAGCAUCAACUAGCAAGUGGGAAUCAACACUGAACAGUCGGUUAUAAGAUUAAAAUGGGCUGGCACACUGAUGGCAACGCCAGCAACCUGGGUUCAAUUCUCGCCGCUGUCUGCAAGGAUUUUGUAUGUUCUACCCAUUACUGCAUGUGCUUCCUCCAGGUGCCCUGGCUUUCCC